rnacentral:rRNA from 1 species
UAGGGAAUAUUAGUAAUGGGCGAAAGCCUGAACUAGCAACGCCGCGUGUGCGAAGAAGGCCUUCGGGUUGUAAAGCACUUUUAGAGAGGAUGAGGAAGGACGGUACUCUCAGAAUAAGUCUCGGCUAACUACGUGCCAGCAGCCGCGGUAACACGUAGGAGGCGAACGUUAUCCGGAUUUACUGGGCGUAAAGCGCGUGUAGGUGGUUUGGUAAGUAGGGCGUGAAAGCUCCCGGCUCAACUGGGAGAGGCCGUUCUAAACUGCCAAGCUAGAGGAUGGUAGAGGGAGGUGGAAUUCCGGGUGUAGCGGUGGAAUGCGCAGAUAUCCGGAGGAACACCAGUGGCGAAGGCGGCCUCCUGGGCCACUCCUGACACUCAGACGCGAAAGCUAGGGUAGCAAACGGG